AUGGCACAGACGCAGGGCACCCGGAGGAAAAUCUGUUACUACUGCCACGGGGAUGUUGGAAGUCACUACUACAGACAAGGCCACCCAAUGAAGCCUCACCGAAUCCGCAUGACUCAUAAUUUGCUGCUCAACUAUGGUCUCUAGCGAAAAAUGGAAAUCUAUUGCCCUCACAAAGCCAAUGCUGAGGAGAUGACCAAGUACCAUAGCAACAACUACAUUAAAUUCUUGCGCUCCCUCGGUCCAGAUAACAUGUGGGAGUACAGCAAGCAGAUGCAGAGAUUCAAUGUUGGUGAGGACUGUCCAGUAUUCAAUGGCCUGGUUGAGUUCUGUCAGUUGUCUACUGAUGGUUCUGUGGCAAGUGCUGUGAAACUUAAUAAGCAGCAGAAGGACAUCGCUGUGAAUUGGGCUGGGGGCCUGCACCAUGCAAAGAAGUCUGAGGCAUCUGGCUUCUGUUACGUCAAUAAUACCGUCUUGGCCAUCCUGGAACUGCUAAAACAUCACCAGAGGGUGCUUAUAUUGACAUUGAUAUUCACCAUGGCGAUGGCGUGGAAGAGGCCUUCCAUACCACAGACCGGGUCAUGACUGUGCCCUUUCAUAAGUAGGGAGAGUAUGUCCCAGGAACUGGGGACCUACAGGAUAUCGGGGCUGGCAAAGGCAAGUAUUAUGCUGUUAACUACCUGCUCUGAGAUGGGAUUGAUGACGAAUCCUAUGAGGCCAUUUUCAAGCCAGUCAUGUCCAAAGUAAUGGAGAUGUUCCAGCCUAGUGCGAUGGUCUUACAGUGUCACACGCCAAGUGUGUGGAAUUUGUCAAGAGCUUUAACCUACCUAUGCUGAUGCUGGGAGGUGGUGGUUACACCAUUGGUAGUGUUGCCCAGUGCUGGACAUACUAGACAGCUGUGGCCCUGGAUACGGAGAUCCCUAAUGAGCUUCCAUACAACGACUACUUUGAAUACUUUGGACCAGAUUUCAAGCUCCACAUCAGUCCUUCCAAUAUGACUAACCAGAACACGAAUGAGUACCUGGAGAAGAUCAAACAGCGACUGUUUGAGAACGUUAGAAUGCUACCGCACGCACCUGGGGUCCAAAUGCAGGCGAUUCCUGAGGACGCCAUCCCUGAGGAGAGUGGCAAUGAGGACGAAGAAGACCCUGACAAGCGCAUCUGGAUCUGCUCCUCUGACAAACGAAUUGCCUGUGAGGAAGAGUUCUCCGAUUCUGAAGAGGAAGGAGAGGGGGGCCACAAGAACUCUUCCAACUUCAAAAAAGCCAAGAGAGUCAAAACAGAGGAUGAAAAAGAGAAAGACCCAGAGGAGAAGAAAGAAGUCACAGAAGAGGAGAAAACCAAGGAGGAAAAUCCAGAAGCCAAAGGGGUCAAGGAGGAGGUCAAGUUGGCCUGAACAGACCUCUCCAGCUGUGGCUUCCUGCUGAGUCCCUCAUCUUUCUUCCCCAACCCCUCAGAUUUUAUAUCUUCUAUUUCUCUGUGUAUUUAUAUAAAAAUUUAUUAAAUAUAAAUAUCCCCAGGGACAGAAACCAAGGCCCUGAGCCCAGGGCAGCUGUGCUGGGUGAGCUCUUCCAGGGGCCGCGUUGCCACCCAUUCUUCCCCAGUUCUUAACUUUGAACCAUAAAGGGUGCCAG